AAUUCAUAAACCUUGUGGCAAAUCAUGUCAGCCAUAAUAUGUCACGUGGAGUGACUUUAUAUCUGAUAAAACUCAUCUUCAUUAGUAUUAUUUAUAUAAUUGUUCAUCCUAAUUAGUAUGAUUAUAUAAUUGUUCAUCCUAAUUAGUAUUCUUUUUAGUCGUAUUUUAAGCUAUUCAAAACACUCGUUGUCGUAUUUUAUCAGACAUAAAACGCUCGGCUGCGCCUCGCGUUUUAUAUCUGAUAAAACACUCCUACUCGUGUUUUAA